GAUGAACGCUGGCGGCGUGCCUAAUACAUGCAAGUCGAGCGAACGGACGAGAAGCUUGCUUUUCUGAUGUUAGCGGCGGACGGGUGAGUAACACGUGGAUAACCUACCUAUAAGACUGGGAUAACUUCGGGAAACCGGAGCUAAUACCGGAUAAUAUUUUGAACCGCAUGGUUCAAAAGUGAAAGACGGUCUUGCUGUCACUUAUAGAUGGAUCCGCGCUGCAUUAGCUAGUUGGUAAGGUAACGGCUUACCAAGGCAACGAUGCAUAGCCGACCUGAGAGGGUGAUCGGCCACACUGGAACUGAGACACGGUCCAGACUCCUACGGGAGGCAGCAGUAGGGAAUCUUCCGCAAUGGGCGAAAGCCUGACGGAGCAACGCCGCGUGAGUGAUGAAGGUCUUCGGAUCGUAAAACUCUGUUAUUAGGGAAGAACAUAUGUGUAAGUAACUGUGCACAUCUUGACGGUACCUAAUCAGAAAGCCACGGCUAACUACGUGCCAGCAGCCGCGGUAAUACGUAGGUGGCAAGCGUUAUCCGGAAUUAUUGGGCGUAAAGCGCGCGUAGGCGGUUUUUUAAGUCUGAUGUGAAAGCCCACGGCUCAACCGUGGAGGGUCAUUGGAAACUGGAAAACUUGAGUGCAGAAGAGGAAAGUGGAAUUCCAUGUGUAGCGGUGAAAUGCGCAGAGAUGUGGAGGAACACCAGUGGCGAAGGCGACUUUCUGGUCUGUAACUGACGCUGAUGUGCGAAAGCGUGGGGAUCAAACAGGAUUAGAUACCCUGGUAGUCCACGCCGUAAACGAUGAGUGCUAAGUGUUAGGGGGUUUCCGCCCCUUAGUGCUGCAGCUAACGCAUUAAGCACUCCGCCUGGGGAGUACGACCGCAAGGUUGAAACUCAAAGGAAUUGACGGGGGCCCGCACAAGCGGUGGAGCAUGUGGUUUAAUUCGAAGCAACGCGAAGAACCUUACCAAAUCUUGACAUCCUUUGACAACUCUAGAGAUAGAGCCUUCCCCUUCGGGGGACAAAGUGACAGGUGGUGCAUGGCUGUCGUCAGCUCGUGUCGUGAGAUGUUGGGUUAAGUCCCGCAACGAGCGCAACCCUUAAGCUUAGUUGCCAUCAUUAAGUUGGGCACUCUAAGUUGACUGCCGGUGACAAACCGGAGGAAGGUGGGGAUGACGUCAAAUCAUCAUGCCCCUUAUGAUUUGGGCUACACACGUGCUACAAUGGACAAUACAAAGGGCAGCGAAACCGCGAGGUCAAGCAAAUCCCAUAAAGUUGUUCUCAGUUCGGAUUGUAGUCUGCAACUCGACUACAUGAAGCUGGAAUCGCUAGUAAUCGUAGAUCAGCAUGCUACGGUGAAUACGUUCCCGGGUCU
rnacentral:rRNA from 1 species